rnacentral:rRNA from 1 species
ACAGCAGCAGCCGCGGGAAUACGUAGGUGGCAAGCGUUGUCCGGAAUUAUUGGGCGUAAAGGGCUCGCAGGCGGUUUCUUAAGUCUGAUGUGAAAGCCCCCGGCUCAACCGGGGAGGGUCAUUGGAAACUGGGAAACUUGAGUGCAGAAGAGGAGAGUGGAAUUCCACGUGUAGCGGUGAAAUGCGUAGAGAUGUGGAGGAACACCAGUGGCGAAGGCGACUCUCUGGUCUGUAACUGACGCUGAGGAGCGAAAGCGUGGGGAGCGAACAGGAUUAGAUACCCGAGUAGUCCCUGUCUCUUAUAC